ACAAGAAGCUGACAUGAGCCCUUGUUUCCAGUAUGUGAGUCAUCAUUGCCACCAAUGGUCUGGGUCAUUGGCUGUGCACACACAUCCACAGACAGUACAACAACAGCCUCUAGUCCCUUGUUGCUGACCUUUGGGAAGCUGGGCAUGUAAGGCCAUACAUGAUCUACAGUGUACUUGUAGAGGUCAGAGGACAACUUGCAGGAGUCAUUUCUCUGCUUCCACAAUGUGGGUCCUUGGGAUCCAACUGAAGUCAUCAGAAGCAGUACUCGGGCUUCUAUUACACUUUAAUACGAUCUACAUAUAAGGUGAGUCACACAGUAUACCUUUUUGUCCAACAUAUUUACUUGUAAACUUUCAUUGCAAUGAGUCAUUGAACUUGUUCAUGGCCUCUAGUUUCUGGUACACUAUCAUCAUGGGACCCUCAACAAAACUCCUCUAGGAUAUCCUGCAGUCACCCCAAGUAACAGAGAUUCUGCAGGUAUUGUUCCCCAGGACCAGUCAAUUCCAGCAUUCCAGUUGGCCUUAGAUGGUGUAGAUGUUAGGAUGGGCCAAGCCAAGAACCCCAAUAUGGACCUGGGUGGUAGCUGAGCUGAUCAGCUGCCUGCCUAAGGAUAGGGCCGA